GAUGAAGAACGUAGCGAAAUGCGAUACUUGGUGUGAAUUGCAAAAUCCCGUGAACCAUCGAGUCUUUGAACGCAAGUUGCGCCCGAAGCCAUUAGGCCGAGGGCACGCCUGCCUGGGUGUCACACGUCGUUGCCCCCCCAUCUACUCCUUCGGGAUUGCGGGGGGCGGAUGAUGGCCUCCUGUGCGCCUCGUCGCGCGGUUGGCAUAAAUGCCAAGUCCUCGGCGACGCACGCCACGACAAUCGGUGGUUGCGAAACCUCGGUUGCCCGUCGUGUGCGGUCGUCGCGCAUCGAGGGCUCGAAAAAAUUGCCGGGCUCCGGCUCGGCUUUCAACGCGACCCCAGGUCAGGCGGGGUUACCCGCUGAAUUUAAGCAUAUCAAUAAGCGGAGGA
rnacentral:misc_RNA from 1 species